UGGGAUAGAACCCGAGUCCUCAUGGAUUCAAGCAUCUUUACCAAAAGCGGGGAGAGCUGUCUCUGGAUCAGAGCGUGGACCCACCUGUGGGAAGUGGGAAGAGGGGAUCAUCUCCCAGGUCACUUUCUCCCAGGCCCAUCGAAAAAGGGCACCAUCUCCACGGCACUCUCUGCACCAGGGUUUUGCCAACUACAGCUGCGACCCAUGAAUGGAUCAUGAAAGCAACGUGAUGACUGGCACUUUUUUGGAUUACAGACAAAAGCACCGAAUAGAAAAUAUUAGCAUAUGUCCUAUCUUUA